rnacentral:lncRNA from 1 species
AGAGUAGGUCGCUCGUAGUAGAAGUUCGAAGUGGACUGCUCGUAGUAGAAGUUCGGAGUGGACCGCUUGUAGUAGAAGUUCAGCUCUCUCAGGGGCUCGGGUAGAGUCCGAAAGGCGAUCGACUAUCGUAGCGACAUGGAUGAAGUCUGGUUACUAUAGAAAUCUUCAUUGUCGGAGAAGCUCGAAUAUUGACGAAGUUCGGAAGAAGUUCAGAGUAGGGUCGUCUGCAGCCAGAAGAAGUCUGGAAGAAAUUCGAAGAAUAGUUGAUUACCGUAGAAGGUCGGUUGAUAGUGAAGCCUAGAGAGCCUUCGGAGCAGCCCGAUAGAUGAAUGGCGAAGCUCAUUGUCGGAGAAGUCCGGAAGCUCGAACGGUCGAGGGGGUUCAGAGAGGCACCACAUA